GCGCAAGUAAUUUACUGGUAGAAUACGAGAUUCCCAAUCUCGAUAUCCGGGUUCGAUUCCCGGCUUGCGCA
rnacentral:tRNA from 1 species